rnacentral:rRNA from 1 species
UACGGAGGGUGCAAGCGUUAUCCGGAAUCACUGGGUUUAAAGGGUGCGUAGGCGGCCAUUUAAGUCAGCGGUGAAAUUUUGCAGCUUAACUGUAACAGUGCCGUUGAUACUGUUUGGCUAGGAUUUGGUUGUAGUGUGCGGAAUGUGUGGUGUAGCGGUGAAAUGCUUAGAUAUCACACAGAACACCGAUUGCGAAGGCAGCACACUAAGUCAUUAUUGACGCUGAGGCACGAAAGUGUGGGGAUCAAACAGGAUUAGA